CUUUAAAACCCGACGGCCUUUGCGUAUAUGAAACAACUAAACAAGACAGCAUAUAAUUUCAUAGCCUGCGAACAGGCUCUCAAGCUGAAUUGAGAGCCUGCAUCGAUGACUAAUGAAUUUGAAUAUCUGCCCCGUAACGUUCGUUUUUCCGAAUAUGGAAUGUCUAUCCUUAUAUGGUGUUGUUUACAACUUUCGUGCAAA